rnacentral:sRNA from 1 species
AACCACAAUAACAGGCGGAGGGUCGGCGUAGGUACUUUGAACUCAAGUAAACAAAAGGGAAUAUUUUCUCGUUGAUACUGGAGACUGCACAACAAUGGGGCCACGAAAAAAAAGUGUGAAAACAUGUAUCAUGAAUAAUGAAAUUCCAGAAGAAAUGACAGCAGAUGAAACAAAGGACUAUAUGAAUCAACUUUCACAUGAAGUACUUUGCCAUAUUUUUAGGUACCUGCCUCUGCAGGAUAUCAUGUGUAUGGAAUGUCUUUCCCGGAAACUAAAGGAAGCAGUGACCCUAUAUCUGCGAGUUGUGAGAGUUGUAGAUCUCUGUGCAGGGCGGUGGUGGGAAUACAUGCCAAGUGGUAAGUGGAUUUAGUCUGUGAAGUACGGUAGUUUCCUACUGGAAAGUAGUAACAAUGGUUUCAUAAAAAGUUACUUGUCUUGAGAAAGGCAAUCUAAGUCACCUUGUAGGCUGGCAAGAUUUUGUCUAAAUUAUUUAUGUUGGGUUUUAGGUUGUAAAAUGUGUUUUACCUGAGGCUUUAUUGUUUUAAUAGUCUGCUCUUUUCAUUUCCUGUCCUUAAGUAACUAUAUCAGCCUGUUCCACACAUCUGUGAUUGGAGAACAUGAGCCUUUGGUUAAUUGAGUAUAUGUGUAUCACAUUAGACAGUGCGUGUCCUUUACUCUCUGAUGCAUGUUUUCCGGUGAAUGGUAACAGUUUUCAUCAUAGAUUUCCUCUGCAACUAAACUGCACCCUUUAGUUAAAU